UUAUAUUUUAGAUAAUCUUGUUAUUCUGUAAUAAUUAUGCUACGAGGCGUAAUCGCAACAGUUGGAUAGAAGGACCAGUCAUUUAGCAUGUAAAGUCAACACACCGUUCCAAAUUCAACUCACAAGUUACAUAAUGCUAAUAGUAAUAUUAUUACUAUUAGUAAUAGUAUUAAAUGUAUAUAAUAUAGAUAAACCAAGCUUUCUCAGCUCACAGUUUCAGUUUCAAAUGGAUUUAUAAGUUAUUGUUUAAUAGCUAACCUCAGACCAACCAUGUCUAGUACUCACAGAUAUCGAUACAAAAAUACUGGUUUAGAUGCCCAAGAACUGAGGAGAAGACGAGAAGAAGAAGGUGUACAAUUGAGAAAACAGAAGCGUGAACAUGAGCUGUACAAACGAAGAAAUCUAAGUACACCUCCGGAUUCCGAUCAUGAUACAGAUGCACUAAAUGCUUUAAUGCAGGAUAAGGCAGAUGGAGCCUCACAGGUAUUGGAUAUGUAUUCUUGU